GGGGGAGUAGCUCCUAAUUGGUAGAGCGGCGGUCUCCAAAACCGCAGGUUGUAGGUUCGAAUCCUACCUCCCCCG
rnacentral:tRNA from 1 species